rnacentral:rRNA from 1 species
AUUGAACGCUGGCGGCAGGCUUAACACAUGCAAGUCGAGCGGGGUGAGGUGCUUCGGUACUGAUCCUAGCGGCGGACGGGUGAGUAAUGCUUAGGAAUCUGCCUAUUAGUGGGGGACAACAUUCCGAAAGGAAUGCUAAUACCGCAUACGCCCUACGGGGGAAAGCAGGGGAUCUUCGGACCUUGCGCUAAUAGAUGAGCCUAAGUCGGAUUAGCUAGUUGGUGGGGUAAAGGCCUACCAAGGCGACGAUCUGUAGCGGGUCUGAGAGGAUGAUCCGCCACACUUGGGCUGAGACACGGCCCAGACUCCUACGGGGGGCAGCAGUGGGGAAUAUUGGACAAUGGGGGGAACCCUGAUCCAGCCAUGCCGCGUGUGUGAAGAAGGCCUUUUGGUUGUAAAGCACUUUAAGCGGGGAGGAGGCUCUUGAGGAUAAUACCCUUGAAGAGUGGACGUUACCCGCAGAAUAAGCACCGGCUAACUCUGUGCCAGCCGCCGCCGUAAUAC